rnacentral:rRNA from 1 species
AUGCGUCAAGUACAAGAGCUUCUCGACAAAGGUUAUAUGCGUGAAUCCCUUAGUCCUUGUGUUGUUCCUAUUAUUCUAGUGCCGAAAAAGGAUGGUACAUCGCGUAUGUGUGUUGAUUGUAGAGGCAUUAAUAAUAUUACUAUUCGUUAUCGUCAUCCUAUUCCUAGACUAGAUGAUAUGCUUGAUGAAUUGAGUGGCUCUACAAUAUUCUCCAAAGUUGAUUUGCAUUGUGGAUACCAUCAAAUUCAUAUGAAUUUGGGGGAUGAAUGGAAAACAACAUUUAAAACUAAGUUUGGAUUAUAUGAGUGGUUAGUCAUGCCUUUUGGGUUAACUAAUGCACCUAGUACUUUCAUGAGAUUAAUGAACGAAGUUUUACGUGCUUUCAUUGGACGAUUUGUGGUAGUUUACUUUGAUGACAUAUUGAUUUAUAGAAGAUCUUUGGAAGAACAUUUAGAACAUUUACGUGUUGUUUUUAUUUCUCUACGUGAUGCACGUUUGUUUGGUAACCUUGGGAAGUGCACCUUUUGCACUGAUCGAGUAUCUUUUCUUGGCUAUGUUGCUACUCCACAGGGAAUUAAAGUUGACAAAGCCAAGAUUGAAGCUAUUGAGAGUUGGCCGCAGCCCAAAACGGUCACACAAGUGAGGAGUUUUCUUGGCCUCGCUGGAUUCUAUAGGUGUUUUGUGAGAGAUUUCAGCACCAUUGCUGCACCUCUCAAUGAGCUUACUAAGAAAGAUCUGCCUUUUCUUUGGGGUACCGCACAGGAAGAAGCCUUCACGGUAUUAUAA